GCCAAUGUCACCAAGGAUGGAUCGCCAAACUUGACAGGAAAAAACAUCGGGCUGCUGAAAAGAAUCCAGGAUAAGGUGAAGGAGGAAAACCCUGAGCUGGAUGGGAUUUUCCUACAUUGCAUAAUCAAUCAGGAAGCGCUCUAUUACAUGGCUACAGACUACACACCAUAAGAGGAGUCCAACAACACGUUAGGAUUCUGGGCGUUUUGAAUGCGGUUCUCCAGGAGGUUGGUGAGAUGGCAAUGCCAAAUCUGCGUCACCUACAAUGUGAGCAACAGAUUAUAAACUAUAAAAAACACAAAAACAGAUUUAGUCACGUGGGUAGCGACCUCGUAAAAUUUUAGCGUCAUAACUGGCGUACUUCCGAGUACAAGGAACGAACAAUGGGCGUCUUUCCCUGCUUGGCAAAUGCAUCAGCCAUGAGGAAGUAGCCACGGCAGGUGAUGGUGCUGUCCAAACCAAACGCCUCACUGGCAAAAUAUAUCUGAAAACAGCAGAGAAAGUAGCUGUUUUACACACUGAGGAUUACUAAUGUGGAGUGGAUGCACAGAACACAAAAGGACCAAACUAAUGUAUGUUCUCAGUGAUCAAUAAAGUACUGCACAUCAUGACAGAUAAUUGUUUUUUGGCAAUAUAUCAAAUUUUAUGUGGAAAAUAACAAAUUGCAUCUGUGUCCAAGAAAUCACUUUCCACAAAGUUCCCCAUUCCAAAAACACCUCUCAAGGAAGUGUGUUAAUUCCAGAUCACAUGACCUGCUCCACAUGAUGUCAUUUCCUCCAGAAGAAAAGCCUGGCCAGACUCCAAGGCUUUCUGAGUUAUUUAAUAUAAAGUAGUGUGGAUUUAUCACAUGUCAACAGGUUUACUACAAUGUCUUUAUAAAUAAUUUUCAAUUUCAAUUUUACUCAUUUGUAUAUAAAAUAUUUAGAAGAAUCUUUCUGUAAAAAUGCCAUGUGGUGUUUGGUUAUAGGCAGUUAUGCUGAUUUUAGGUCUGAAAACAGCAAAAAUGUCAACUAUGUUACAAAAAGUCCCGCAGUUAUAUAUUGACCCAGGUAAUCUUACUCAACAGAUGUUUUCAACCACUGAACAAACUGGAUUUUAGCUGGUGACCAAAAUGUUCCUGCUUCUGACAUUAUUAAUGAAAUUAUGAAACAGUUCGAAUUAAAAAAACAUGUGCAGGAGUUAUUUUCCGACAAGUGUGCUAAUCACGACACAGACAUCGUUUGCAAAGUGAAGCAGAGCUUGUUCCAGGUUUCCAGUGGCCAUGUGGAGGCGGCCCAGGCUCCUGUGCAGCCGGUGGUGGACUGCGUGACCACAGUCUGGGCUCUUCAACACUGACCAUUCCGCCUGGGACAGCAGCUCUGCCACUCGGCUUACAUUUCCCAGACCUGGAAUUGCAAGUCCAAGCACCCAAAAAUAUCCACACACGCACACAAACAUGAUAUAUUGGCAUAGAAAAGGAGAGCAUUUAAGCUGACAAACCAUUUUGUGUUUGCUUCUCACCAAUGUUGGCCUCAGCCAGCAGCAGAUAGGCCGGGACCAGCUGGACAGUGUUGGGGCCGUGGACGUCUAUGGAACAUCGCAGGCAGAACUGGGCGGCGGGCAGGGCCUCUUGGUGUUUCCCUUCAGAAAGCUUCUGUUGAGCCACCGACCUGCAAAUCUCAAUCAGCUCUGCCUAAGGAAGGAUGUCACCACAUGCUCCUCCACUCUCCACGGCGUGCCAGCAAGGAUUUCACUCAGCACCACCUUACGGGCUGAGCCUACAGAAUAUCCGCCUCUGCCAAAGGUAAUACAUGAAGCUAAUGUUGACCAAAUCAUUAUAUGGAAAAAAACACGCAAGCAACAGUCUCAUGAGCAAAAAUAACCGCUGCGGUAAUGUAAUUUCCAGCUGUUCUCCUCCCUCAUCUGUACACAUACGCCCUUCAUACCGAGGCGUUGUGUGAUUUUCUUUUCUUUCUUUUUGCUGUGAGAAAGACUGCAUGGCGGACGCUGCCACCUAGCGUCCAAACCAUGGUGUAACCAAACUUUUACCACUGAAUAAAAAGCAUUUUGUAAAUUACGUUUUCUCCAAACAGCUAAGUGUGAGCAGCUAACGGCUAAAGCCAGCUUACCAGUAAAAAGUGGCUCGACAUUCGGUGCACUGCAGCCGUGCGACUCUUUGACAGAGUUCACACAGCUUCUCCGGUCCUUUGGGUGAGGCGAGAGGAAUUAUUUUACUCGAAACUUUAGGUUUGCCUCCCAUUAGUACCAAAAAUAUCCACUUCACACGGCUAAAACACUGUAUGUGCUCUGUUUUUCGAGAUACCGUUAGCUUACUGAGCUAGCAGCAGUCGAGAAACUAAGUUUUACG